AUCUCCUUGAAUAAACAUGAACAAUCGGAGGUUUGACUGUGACUGAGACAGAAAGAGCAGGAGGAGGACGACGAGGAUUCUGUUUGACAAUGUAUGCCAAAAGAUCAUCUUCCUCCUUGAUUCUCAUACAUAAAUGUUUGAGGAAAGAACGGAGUAGACUUAAAAAACGUAACAUUAGCACAAACAAUAUAUCGAUUAAGAGUUGAAGAGAAACAUCUAUAUCCUUUUUGGAGCCUAAAAUAUCCAAGAAAAACAAUUUAAGAGACUUUGGAUCUAAUUUAGAA
rnacentral:misc_RNA from 1 species